UACAGAGGUGGCAAGCGUUGUUCGGAAUUACUGGGCGUAAAGGGCGCGUAGGCGGCCUACUAAGUCAGACGUGAAAUCCCCAGGCUUAACUUGGGAACUGCGUCUGAUACUGGAAGGCUUGAGUGCGGGAGAGGGAUGUGGAAUUCCAGGUGUAGCGGUGAAAUGCGCAGAUAUCAGGAGGAACACCGGUGGCGAAGGCGGGUCUCUGGACAGUUCCUGACGCUGAGGCACGAAGGCCAGGGGAGCAAACGGG
rnacentral:rRNA from 1 species